GGUGUAGGUGGCUUUGUAAGUCAGAUGUGAAAGCCCAGGGCUUAACCCUGGAAGUGCAUUUGAUACUGCGAAGCUUGAGUGCCGGAGAGGUUAUUGGAAUUCCUGGUGUAGUGAUGAAAUACGUAGAUAUCAGGAGGAAUACCAGAGGCGAAGGCGGAUAACUGGCCGGACACUGACACUCAGACCCGAAAGCGUGGGGAUCAAACA
rnacentral:rRNA from 1 species